rnacentral:rRNA from 1 species
GAAUUCGCCCUUAGAGUUUGAUCUUGGCUCAGGAUGAACGUUGGCGGUGUGCCUAAUACAUGCAAGUCGAACGGUGACGAUUUUGUAGCAAUACGAAUGAAAUCAUAGUGGCGAACGGGUGAGUAACGCGUUGGUGAUCUGCCUCGAAGUGUGGAAUAACUUCCCGAAAGGGUAGCUAAUACCGCAUAGUCUCUCAAGGUUUAGAAAAUUGAGAGUAAAGGAUUUAUUCGCUUCGAGAGGAGCCUGCGUCCCAUCAGCUAGUUGGUAGGGUAAUAGCCUACCAAGGCAAUGACGGGUAGGGGACCUGAGAGGGUGGCCCCCCACAAUGGAACUGAAACACGGUCCAUACACCUACGGGUGGCAGCAGUAGGGAAUAUUAGAAAUGGGCGAAAGCCUGAUCUAGCAACACCGCGUGUGCGAUGAAGGCCUUCGGGUUGUAAAGCACUUUUUGGAGGGAAUAGGAAGGAAGGUACCUCCAGAAUAAGUCUCGGCUAACUACGUGCCAGCAGCCGCGGUAACACGUAGGAGGCAAACGUUAUCCGGAUUCACUGGGCGUAAAGCGCGUGUAGGUGGUUCUGUAAGUAGGGCGUGAAAGCUCCCGGCUCAACUGGGAGAGGCCGUACUAAACUGCAGAGCUAGAGGAUGGUAGAGGGAGGUGGAAUUCCAGGUGUAGUGGUGAAAUGCGCAGAUAUCUGGAGGAACACCAGUGGCGAAGGCGGCCUCCUGGACCAUUCCUGACACUCAGACGCGAAAGCUAGGGUAGCAAACGGAAUUAGAGACUCCGGUAGUCCUAGCCCUAAACGAUGCAGACUAGGCGUCGGCGGUUUAAUCACCGUCGGUGUCCAAGCUAACGCGAUAAGUCUGCCGCCUGAGGACUACGGCCGCAAGGCUAAAACUCAAAGGAAUUGACGGGUCCCCGCACAAGCAGCGGAGCGUGUGGUUUAAUUCGAUGCAACGCGAAGAACCUUACCUGGUCUUGACAUGCCUCGCAAAAGCUUAGAGAUAAGUAAUAGUUAUGGAGGACACAGGUGGUGCAUGGUUGUCGUCAGCUCGUGUCGUGAGAUGUUGGGUUAAGUCCCGUAACGAGCGCAACCCCUAUCUUUAGUUACCAUCAUUUAGUUGGGGACUCUAAAGAGACUGCCGGUGAUAAACCGGAGGAAGGUGGGGAGGACGUCAAAUCAUCAUGCCCCCUAUGAUCAGGGCUACACACGUACUACAAUGGCAUAUACAAAGGGCAGCUACACAGUGAUGUGAUGCGAAUCUCAUAAAGUAUGUCUCAGUUCGGAUUGGAGUGUGCAACUCGACUCCAUGAAGCAGGAAUCGCUAGUAAUCGUGGAUCAGAAUGCCACGGUGAAUAAGUUCUCGGGUCUUGCACUCACCGCCCG